rnacentral:rRNA from 1 species
UGAAUACGAGAUGCUACGGCGUCGAAGCAGUCUAUGUCAUACUUCCAAGAAAAGCUUGCACUGUCAUAAACAAAUAAUGCCUGUACCAUAACCGACACAGGUGGGUAGGUAGAGUAUACUAAGGGGCGCGAGAUAACUCUCUCUAAGGAACUCGGCAAAAUGACUCCGUAACUUCGGGAGAAGGAGUGCCUUAUUUAUAAGGUUGCAAUAACAAGAUCCAAGCAACUGUUUACCAAAAACACAGGUCUCCGCUAAGUCGUAAGACGAUGUAUGGGGGCUGACGCCUGCCCAGUGCCAGAAGGUUAAAGAAGUUGGCUAGCAUCCGCGAAGCUGAUAACUGAAGCCCUGGUGAACGGCGGCCGUAACUAUAACGGUCCUAAGGUAGCGAAAUUCCUUGUCGGGUAAGUUCCGACCCGCACGAAAGGCGUAAUGAUUUGGAUACUGUCUCGGAGAGGGGCUCGGUGAAAUAGACUUGUCUGUGAAGAUGCGGACUACCUGCACCAGGACAGAAAGACCCUAUGAAGCUUUACUGUAACCUGAAAUUGAAAUUGGACUUUACUUGCGCAGUAUAGGUGGGAGGCGUUGAGAAUAUUCUUGCGGGAUUAUUGGAGCCAUCAGUGAGAUACCACUCUUGUAAUGUUAGAUUUCUAACUUUGUAUCAUUAUCUGGUCAAAGAACAGUUUCAGGCGGGCAGUUUGAUUGGGGCGGUCGCCUCCUAAACGGUAACGGAGGCGCACAAAGGUUUCCUCUGAACGGGUAGAAAUCGUAUCUAGAGUGUAAAGGCAUAAGGAAGCUUGACUGUGAGACCUACAAGUCGAGCAGGGACGAAAGUCGGUCUUAGUGAUCUGACGGAGCUGAGUGGAAAGGCCGUCACUCAACGGAUAAAAGUUACUCUAGGAUAACAGGCUGAUCUCCCCCAAGAGUUCACAUCGACGGGGAGGUUUGGCACCUCGAUGUCGGCUCAUCGCAUCCUGGGGCGGUAGUACGUCCCAAGGGUUGGGCUGUUCGCCCAUGAAAGCGGUACGCGAGCUGGGUUCAGAACGUCGUGAGACAGUUCGGUCCAUAUCCGGUGUAGGCGUUAGAAUAUUGAGAGGAGCCUUCUUUAGUACGAGAGGACCGAGAAGGACAUACCUCUGGUGUACCAGUUAUCGUGCCAACGGUAAACGCUGGGUAGCUAUGUGUGGAGUGGAUAACCGCUGAAAGCAUCUAAGUGGGAAGCCCACCUCAAGAUAAGUAUUCUCAUCAU